ACGGGUGAGGAAUACAUCGGAAUUUGCCCUGUCGUGGGGGAUAACGUAGGGAAACUUACGCUAAUACCGCAUACGACCUAACGGUGAAAGCGGGGGAUCGCAAGACCUCGCGCGGUUGGAUAAGCCGAUGUCAGAUUAGCUAGUUGGCGGGGUAAAGGCCCACCAAGGCGACGAUCUGUAGCUGGUCUGAGAGGAUGAUCAGCCACACUGGGACUGAGACACGGCCCAGACUCCUACGGGAGGCAGCAGUGGGGAAUAUUGGACAAUGGGGGCAACCCUGAUCCAGCAAUGCCGCGUGUGUGAAGAAGGCCUUCGGGUUGUAAAGCACUUUUAUCAGGAGCGAAACACGUAAGGUUAAUAACCUUGCGGACUGACGGUACCUGAGGAAUAAGCACCGGCUAACUUCGUGCCAGCAGCCGCGGUAAUACGAAGGGUGCAAGCGUUACUCGGAGUUACUGGGCGUAAAGCGUGCGUAGGUGGUUUCUUAAGUCUGCUGUGAAAGCCCCGGGCUCAACCUGGGAAUUGCAGUGGAUACUGGGGAGCUAGAGUGCGGUAGAGGGUAGUGGAAUUCCCGGUGUAGCGGU
rnacentral:rRNA from 1 species